AUGCCUCCCCAUCUCCUUCUACACAGCCUCCUCCAGCUCAGGGUCCCACCUCGCCACCCCCUCCUCCGCCUCCUCCACUCCUACAACCCCAUUGACCGACCGCCGCCGCUGGACCAGCCCCUGCACGAUGCUGAGCUUUGGAUCGCCAAGGCGCUCGCGACUGCUGCCUUACUCCUGCCACACUACCUCCCGGCAUUCCGCCGCCUCGCGCCCUCCCAGGUCGCCGCCGCCGCCGCGCUCCGCCACGCGCCGUGCGCCUCCUCGACGCUCCACCUCUUCUCUGCGCUGCAUUCCCCCCACUCCCAGCUCGCCAUCCCCCCGUCCGCUCAUUCCUACCGCUACGUCAUCUCGUUGAUGUGCCAGUCCGGCCGCCACACUGAUGCCCUCCAACUGUUCGACCAAAUGACGGACCAGUCUGGUUACUUUCCCAAUGCUCGUUUUCUCUCGUUCCUGUCCGGUUCCUGCGCCACCGCAGGCCUUCUUGAUGCCGCUGCAGCAUUGCUCUCAAAGGCAUCCCAAUUUGGUUGUUCCAUUGAAGCGUAUGCAUAUAACAAGCUCCUGGGUUUGUUCAUUGGCCGUGGCCGGGUGCAGGACGCUGUGGCGUUGUUUGAGGGGUGGAUCCAGGGGAGAGUAUAUUCUCCCGACGUGUGGAGCUUCAAUGUCGUCAUCAAGGGGGUUUGCAAGGUGGGGGAUGUUCAAAAGGCGCUCGAGUUGGUCGAAAGAAUGGAUGAGUUUUGUUGCUUGCCAGAUACUGUCACACAUAAUAUUCUUGUGAAUGGGCUAUGCAGGGCAAAGGAGGUGAGUAAGGGUCGUGAGGUGUUGAGGAGGCUUCAGAGAGAUGGUGUUUGCAAGCCCAAUGUAGUGACAUACACCUCAGUAAUCUCAGGUUACUGUAAGGCUGGCAGGAUGGAGGAUGCAAUGGCAGUAUACGGUGACAUGGUUGCGUGUGGGACAUCACCCAAUGUUGUCACAUACAAUGUGCUAAUCAAUGGAUAUGGCAAGGCUGGGAAUAUGGGGUCUGCGGUGGCAGUGUAUCAGCAAAUGAUACUUCGUCGCUGCCUUCCUGAUGUUGUGACAUUUAGCUCAUUGAUUGAUGGAUAUUGUCGGUGCGGACAGCUUGAUGAUGCGAUGAAGAUUUGGACUGAGAUGUCUCAGUAUCAUAUUCAACCAAAUGCACACACGUUCUGUAUCAUAAUACACACAUUUUGUAAGCAGAACAGAUCAGGGGAAGCACUUCAUUUUUUGAAAAAAAUGAACAUGAGAACAGACAUUGCACCACAAGCGUUUAUAUAUAACCCUGUGAUUGAUGUACUGUGCAAGGGUGGAAAGGUGGACGAAGCAAACAUGAUUCUAAUGGAGAUGGAAGAGAAAGGAUGUCAUCCCGACAAGUAUACAUAUACUAUUUUGAUAAUUGGGCACUGCAUGAAGGGUAGGAUAGCAGAAGCCAUCACAUUUUUCCAUAAAAUGGUAGAGACUGGGUGUACCCCUGACAGUAUAGUAGUCAAUUCUUUUAUUAGCUGCCUUUUAAAGUCUGGGAUGCCUGGUGAGGUGGAUCAUAUAAUGCGUAUUGCAGCAGGGGGUGCUUCAUCGAGUUGGAAAGAUCCUUCUCCUGUAACCCAAAGCGUAGACAUUUCAGUAGCUGUAUAG
rnacentral:rRNA from 1 species